rnacentral:rRNA from 1 species
CCUCCCACCCUUGUCUCUAUACACCUGUUGCUUUGGCGGGCCCACCGGGGCCCCCUGGUCGCCGGGGGACGCACGUCUCCGGGCCCGCGCCCGCCGAAGCGCUCUGUGAACCCUGAUGAAGAUGGGCUGUCUGAGUACUGUGAAAAUUGUCAAAACUUUCAACAAUGGAUCUCUUGGUUCCGGCAUCGAUGAAGAACGCAGCGAAAUGCGAUAAGUAAUGUGAAUUGCAGAAUUCCGUGAAUCAUCGAAUCUUUGAACGCACAUUGCGCCCCCUGGCAUUCCGGGGGGCAUGCCUGUCCGAGCGUCAUUUCUGCCCUCAAGCACGGCUUGUGUGUUGGGUGUGGUCCCCCCGGGGACCUGCCCGAAAGGCAGCGGCGACGUCCGUCUGGUCCUCGAGCGUAUGGGGCUCUGUCACUCGCUCGGGAAGGACCUGCGGGGGUUGGUCACCACCAUGUUUUACCACGGUUGACCUCGGAUCAGGUAGGAGUUACCCGCUGAACUUAAGCAUAUCAAUAAGCGGAGGAA